AAGUCGUAACAAGGUUUCCGUAGGUGAACCUGCGGAAGGAUCAUUACCGAGAUAGGGUCGCCGGCCUAAACCCCCGACGCCCGACCUCCCACCCCAUGUCUACAUUACCUCUGUUUCCUCGGCGGACCGCCCGGUUCCUGGUAACAGGCCCGGCCGUCGGCCCCCGUAAGGGAGUCCUCGAGCGUCCAUCGAAGGACCACAUAAAACCCAAAUGAAAAUCAGCCUUCUGAGUAACAUUAUAAUACUUCAAAA
rnacentral:misc_RNA from 1 species